CUGUUGGGGACCUUCGUCUCAGCACUGAGUAACAGUCGGAUCCCCUUAAUGACCUCUUAAUUACAAGAAAACCUCCAUCAAAUAAACUCUUGACUAUUGACUUUUGGGUUUUCUGCGUAUGAGUCACACGAGAAAUAUACUGGCGGUGCUCCUCCUGGAGUAAGUUUUCAUUGAAAAGUGAAAUUUCACAUGGGAGAGGCUUAGCCCCAUCACCAGAACAAAUAAACCUGGCUCGGGCAGCAUCUCCCCAAAACUAUGCUAGGCGAAAAGGAGCGGGCUGUGGCCCGAAAGCCUCUCCCUCCCUUCCUGCUUUUACAAGAGUUCAUCAACACUGUGUUUUGAUAAGUCCAAUCACCCAGAGAAGCAAACGAAUUAAGGUCUGUGGAUUUCAGCCAAAACUCCUUUUGAGUGUAUUUUUCCAAGGGCCGUUUGCUUAUGAAUCCUUUCAAAGGAAUGGAGGUGAAUACACAAAAGUUCCCCUUCACCGGAAGUUUUAUGGUGAGGAUGUUUUUUAAGUAAUUCCCAUCAAAGAUGAUCAGCCCAGGCUGGAAAUUUUUACCCUACUGUGGUAGAUGAAAGGCAUCUUCCCAAUGCUGCUCCUGUUCCCCAGGACAGGUUAACAGUCCACACACAGCCGUCUGGGCAGCGAUUUGCCACUGCAUUUUGAUGUUCUGGGUAUGGUUAUUCUUUAAUUUUCAUACUUAGUUUAUUUUAAUUGCGUAUUACUUCAAAUAGUUCACAGUUAAUAAUCAAAAUCCUGGAAAUCAUGGCCCUGCAUCGUUGCUGUGAUGGAUUAUGAAUGCUGAUUUGCACUGCUAUCCAAUUAUUAUUAGUAUUUAGCUUUAAAGUAGCUCUCUGCCUGGCACUGCUUGCUUUAUUCUUGAUCUCGGGAGACGUGUGCUGCAGGCAAGUGUGCAGCCUAGUGGACUUACUGAAGCACUGUUCACUUUCCUGCAGUCACCCAAACAACCUAGGGGGGUGAAAUCAUUGGGAAAUCAGCAAUUAGCCGUAAAAGCUCUGAGUCUGAAGAACACUAAAGAACACAGGGCAGGUCUGUCUAGACCAUCAAAAAGCCCACCAGUAUCUCUGACCAGAGAUAUGGAGGUGAAAAUCUCUGCAAUACCUUAAAAAUCUGGAUCUGACAGCAUUAUCAAGAAAAGCAUCUACAGGACCUGAAAUAACUUCUUGCGUGAGACCUGAAGACAAAAGCCUUCCAAUCGCAGUGGAUUUUUUUGUCACAUCAGGGGUUUUGCAACAAGGUUUCAAUCACAGAUUUUUAAAGUGUAGAGUGUUGACCUGUUGGUAAAGCUUGAUAUGAAUGGUUUCAUGGCAUGCAGUUGCAUGGUUUCUCUCUUGAUUUGAAAAAAAAGCAUAGUGAAAUUUUUUUAAAAAGCCUCUCCCUUCUUGAAUUUACAGUGUGUUUCAUCUCUGAAUAUUGUUUUCUGGCGUUUCUAUUUGGUUUCUGUUGGUCUCCCAAAGGUUUCUGUAAAAAGUGAGAUUUCUAAAAAAAGUGAGAUAAAUCGCAACUACUGCAAAUUCAAUCAGACAUUUGAAAACCCACUGGUUAUUUCUUUCCUUACACGUCAACAUCUGUAAUGAAAGUUUCCCUAACUAUUGUCUUCAAAGAACUCAUUGCAGUGGUAUGCAAAGCUGACCAUGGGUAAUACAACCAGAAAUGUUUGAUUUAAUUUCAGUAGGUUGUCUGAUGACACGUACAAAGGAACAGAAAUCGAAGACACUCAAAGUAAAGUACCAGUUAGUUUCAUUUAGCAAGGUUAAUAAAAUUUAAAAUAGAUUUGUACAGUGUAUAUGUAAACAUUACUUUUUUUGUUUAGGGGGUUCCGCCCUGAAUUGUCUUCAUAAGCAGAACAUAUGCUCAAGAACUCCCUACCAGUUUCUAUACGACAACCUAAUUUUUUUGAAGUACCUUAACACUGAGAAGUUAUCAUGAUAAAUCUGAAAAAAACUAAGUAGAUUCAGAAAAAGCAAAUGUUUGGCUGAACAGUUCUUUACACAAGCAUGUCUUUGUUGUCACAGGGCUCCAAGUGAGACAUCCCAACAGCACAUUCUAACAGCCCGGUUAGAAUUCCAAACUAAGAAAGACUUGGGAAAACAAUUAGUUUUGAACGGAAGCAUUCACCAGACUGUUCCGAGAUGAAGAACAUUAUGUAUGAAGGGAGAGGAAUGGAUAACAUUUCAAAUCCAUCAUCUUCCUUUCCUCUUCAGCAGGGGAGAACUCCUUGUAAACUUUCCACAAAGAGGAACUCUGUCCAACAUAAUGCAAGAGCAGAAUAGGUUGGCAGGAAUUUUGAGACAUGAUUAUACUAUGCACCUCAUCAAAGAUAUCAGACAGUCAUAUGUCUAAAACAAAGCUAACUUUUGUAAAAAUAGUAUAAAGGAAUUCCAAAUUUGUGUCUCAUAUUUCAUAUUCAAAGCAGAUAUACUUCCUAACUCUCUUAUAUACCUGGAUCUGAUAAUUAUUUUAUAUCUAGCAUACAGCAUCUUCCUAAGAAUCCCUGAACUUUCAUGGCUGUCACAGAGACUGGCAAUUUUCUUCAUGGAACUCCAAUGCCUGAUGGAAAAAUACCAGACAACAGCCCACUUCAUGAGGUGAAUUUUCAUAAAUAACACUGGAAAAUAAUUCUGUGUUAUAUUGAUAAGGUGCAUAAAAAAGUUCAAUUAAGAUAACAAUAGUGACAUUCACAAUGCAAAUGUAAAUGUAUAAAGGGUGGGAAAAUGAUGGAGGUAAUAAAGGACUGGCAGAAGAAUAUCUGUAUUCCUGUCACUAGGAUUUUAUUUUAAUUGUCUGCUACUUUGUUUUCACCAAAGAAUAUGUACAAAGUAAACAAACAAAAAAACCCCACAUCUUUGCAUCACAAAGUAUGUUUUAGAAGUAAGUAUCAAGGACAUUACAAAUACAGUUUGCAGUUUGUAUUCAAAAAGAAAUGAGGGAAGAAUAUAAAGAAGAAUGGCCCCACUUCUCCACAAUGACAUCUGCUUCAAAUAGGACACAGAAACCCACCUGUCUAAAGGUCUUCCGACAGAGAUACAACUUCAUACUUACAAGGUAUCUUACAUUAGCCAAAUUCCUACAGAAAAACUGUAUAA